CACAUCCUUCUGACUCCUGCCCUGGUCCUGCCUUGACCCCACACUGCCUGUCACAUCCUCAGGCCAUCCCCAGCCCUGUCCUUCUGCCUGUCUUGUUGGGAGGAUUCCUGAGUCUUCACUCCCCCAUCACUACCCACACAUCUGGCUCUUGUCCUUUCUGCAUUUGAAUCCAGGAAUUUUUCUCUUCCACAUUGUCUCACUCCAAUGAACAUCACCAGAAGUGCAAGAGACAGACUCCUGGCUCUCCAUCUUCAGGUGCUUGGCCUUGCCAUGGGCUGUGAAAGUCUGCUGCUGAAACUGCAAAGGAAGUCCUGCUUGAACUGUGGUUGGAACUUCCUCAGCAAGGAUGAAAACUUCAAGAAUUCAAUUGCUAAAAUGAAAGGAAUCUCAGAGUUAUCCCCUGAGCAUGUUCAAAUUCAGCUUCCUAAAGGCAUAUAACAUAGCCAGAUUUGGGCAGGUUUUCAGGAGGGCCAAGGGGAUAUCUCUGAUGAAAGGAAACUCUCUCCAAGGAAGAGAGACGCCAGAGCUUUUCAAAGCAAAGGUCACAAUUGCUUUUUAACUUGGACAAAACAUUGAAUUUUUCCUUACCCUCACUAUUUGAAAUGGCUAAGUUUGUGGAUAUUUUCCAAAAACUUCAGCCUGAGGCAGAUACCUGGCAUGGAAAAUUUAAUUCCAAAUGCUUAUAGUUUGGCAACAUUGUAAGUGCCUGAAAAUAGGCUCUUACAGUCCAAAGGAUCAAGCUUUCACUACAAUGUGAACAGCUGAGCCACUGGCCCUACCUGCAGUCACAGCUCAACAUUUUGCCUCAUCACCUGCACAGAAAACAGAGCAGGGGUGCAGCUGGGGGGUGGAUUUCCAUCCUGUCCAGAAGGAAAUUGCUGCGAUUGAUACUAAAGAAAUUGGUUAGGAUGAGCAUUUGGUAAUACACAGGAAUUUCCAGCACAGAGGAGCUUUGGACAGUAGGGGUUAUAGACCCCCGUUCUGAGUUCUACUUGUCUACAUUCAUUCAUAUGUGCCACAUAAAUGAGGUUUUCAGUUUUCUGACAAAUGUACUAUAAACAGCCUAUUCACAUUUUCCUGAUUUCCAGCUUGCUCAGCUUGGUCUGUCCUUAACUCAGCCAUCCAUUUCCUUAUUUUCUCACAUUGCCACUUCUGCCUUGUCAUGCUCUACAGUAAUGAAUGUACAGACACAGACAACAUCCAAGCAAAAUUAAAGCAGCUGGCUGCUGAUGUUGCACAGCGUGGGAUUUUUCAGGAAGAAGCCAUCAGCCCCUUCCCAGCAGAUUCUUUCCUGAGUGUCAAGCACAGGCUUUUUGGCUGCAUUUCUCACACCAUGGCAGAUGCAUGGACCAUAUUCUGCAGGUAUAGACCAGUUCCUGGAAUAGGCAGAGGGGCAAUGAGUGGCUAAUGAGCACCAGCUGAGUUGCAGGUAUUUCACAUCUGCCCUAUAUGACUCAGUAUCUUCCCCCAUGGCCACAUUGCUAGCAGCUCGGAAUACCUCAGGACAAAUGAGUCAUGGCAGAAAUGUGGCCAUCCUCUGAUGCUUCUGUGAGACUUGAGAUCAAUUCAUGUCAGUUUUUCACCAUGUAGGUGCAGUGUCAUCCCUGGGCAGUGCUGCACUGGCUCCUCUUGUAAAGAUGUGAACCCAGCACAGGGAUGUUGUGGCAGGGCACAUGGCCUGUGUAACACCAGCUCUGUUUGCACAGGUGUUGGAUGGCUUCAGAGCCUGGAUCCAUUGAUCAUGGGAGUGUCCAGGAGGUCUCCUGUGCCUCACAGAGUUUGCUGAGAGGUGAACUCUUUCACAAUGAAAUCCUCUUUAGAACUGCUGACACUUUCAUGAGUAACAGUAUUCAUCUGCAUGAAAAGGUUUUCUUGUUGUACAAGUUUUUUGUUUUUUUUUUUUUUUCCCUGAAUAGUGGUAGAGAAAUAUAAAAAUCUGAAUAGACAAUAUCUUUUUUAUUGUCAGCUUAUUGGGACAUCAGAGAGGCGCUGAUGAUAGUUUGCAGGUGAAGGAGAGGGGGAAUGUUUGUUUCUUUGUAGAAAGAGGUUUAGAGGCAAUCACAGCAGCAUCUGACUAAAAUCGGAACUGAUUGAAAUCAGAAGAAAGGCGAAAACCAGGAUGAAUAAAACACGAACAGGCUGAAAGUGCAGUAAAACACAACUUUCGCAGAAACAUCGGCCUUUUGCCUUAUGCCUCGAGUGAAAACAAAGUUGUUUUCCAGCGGAAGGGAUAACAGCAGAUGCUGUUUUGGGAAGGCUGGAGCAGGCUGGUGGGACCAGGAGCAUCCCCGGCAGCUAGAGGGCACCGCCGGCCGCGGUAUAAGAGCUGAGAACACCGCAGGGGACUGGAAAACCAGCAAGGUAAAUUUUGCUCAUACCUGAGGUACCUGAAAGCUCACCGACAGGUCUGCGUUUUCAGGCCUUGCUGAGUAAUCUAUCUCAGUGGUCUCUGAACCACACAUGUUUUUCUGGAAGAGUUAAAACGUUUAAAAAGAGACAGCACCAUUGGGGAAAAUGUUUCAGUUUUACUUUUGUUUCCCCUGUGCUGCUGUAUAUAAGGCCAAAAAAUUGUUUUUGUCAGUUGGCUGGAGGAGGUUAAGUGUUGCUACGUAAGCAGAGUAACAGCACCAGGUGACCCUUUUGGCCAUUAAAUUCCUGCCUUGGCCCACUGAGGUGGGUACAGUCACAUUCCUCGGAACUGCAUGCAGCUUGUUGUUGGUGAACAUUUUAAUACUGAUUUCCACCCAGGCACCCUUUUAAUCCCUAUGAGCUACAGACCUGGGAGCUGGGACCUUUCCCAGGUCAUGUCCUGACCCUGUCCAUGGCAUGACAGUUUAUCAAACUACUUCCAUAACAGUAAAUUCUGCUGGAAUGAGCAGAAAAGAUAGGAUUUCUGUUACAUGUUGCAUUUGCAAUAAUCGUAAAAAGUUUGCUGUGCUUUUACAUUCCCUACAAAUCUCUUCAGCAAUUUCUUCUGGUUACUUUCCCUCUGGUUCUCCCCCAUCCCCUGCAUGCAUUUUUGGUAGUAAGUUAAGCAGGAUGAUAUCAAAGGAAUGGCUUCAUCCUUGUCUUCAUCCAUCCCCUGACUUGUUUCAGGAUGCUGUGUGUGUCAGGGAGGCCCCGUGGGAUGUUGGUCAGGGUCAGUAAGGUUUACUGGUGCUCUCAGAGCCUUGACAGCAGUUUAAAGUGUCAGCUGCUGCCCACAGAUCUUAGCUGCAGCAAAAUACCCACAAUUGACAAAUGGGAACAAAAAAUACCACAAAAAACCAAACCCCCCUAAAAUCCCCCAAACAAACCAUAAACCACCAAACCAUCCCACAAACCCCCAGAACAACUUUGCUUUUGGGACUUAAUCUGUUCAACUCUAACUUGACAAAUUCCAGCCACAGCACGAGUUGCAGAGCCAACUGAUGUGUCACCCACCCUUGACUCUUAGAGAAAGGGGCAAAAAGUUAAUAAUGGGCUGAAUGAAGCCAAAAUUAGACCCCAAUGAUCUCUGAGUCACUGUAUAUUAAGUGUUGUAAAAAAAUGGUAACAUUCUCCCUCUCCCACAACUCCACGACCUAGAAAAAACCCCUGUGGUACAAGCUACCUCUGUGGGAGGGGUCCUGCUCUGCCAGUUGUCAGCCAAUGAUCCAAAAUGCAAACCCACCCCUCCAAGACAGGUCCAAGUGGAAUAAAAUACAACUGAACUUCAACAGAGGAAGAAUCUGGAUGAAAUCUAGUCCAAUACCACACAAAUAAUGAUUUCUUACUGUAUUGGGCUUGCAGGGACAGAUUUUGCUAACAGAGGGGCUAGAGGGGUGGCUUCUGUGAGAGGCGGCCAGAAGCUUCCCCUGAGCCAAUGCCAGAUGGAUCCAAGAUGGACCUGCUCUGGCCAAGGCUGAGCCAGCCAGUGACAUUGACAACACCUCUGGGAUAUUAGAUUUAAGAAGGGGGAAGAAACCUGAACACAGAGAGGAACAGCUCUGCAGACACAGGGUCAGCGAAGGAGGAGGGGCAGCAGCUGCUCCAGGAGCCAGAGCAGAGAUUCCCCUGCAGCCCUUGGUGAGGCAGCUCUGCCCCUGCAGCACAGGGAGGGGCAGGGGGAGCAGAGAUCCACCUGCAGCCCCUGGAGGAACCACACCAGAGCAGGUGGAUGUGCCUAAGGGGGCUGUGACCGCAUGGGAAGCCCUCCUGGCAGGACCUGUGGCCUGUGGAGAGGAGCCUGUGCUGGAGCAGGUUUGCUGAUAGAGGACUUGUGACCCUGCGGGGGGCCACACUGAAGCACCCCGUUCAGGAAGGACUGUACCCUGUAGAGGGGACCCAAACUGGAGCAGUUUGUGGAGAGCUGCAGUGUGUGGGAGGAAGUCACAUUGUAACUCAGAUUUGUGGAGGACUGUCUUCUUUGGGAGAUCCUUGUAUGUGCCCCCAACCCCCCCCGAACAAGCCCAAAUUCAUCAGUUGCAGGCUGCAGAAGCACAACGGGGGGCAAUGCAUCUGGAGGAGCACAGCUCUGCUCAGGAGACCCAGAGAAGAAGCUUUACAACUGUGACAUUCUUUGCCAAGACUCUCUUGCUUUUCCCUGAGGCUCCCAGGCAAAAUUAAUGAUGAGUUGUGAGCCAGAAAACAACGUCAUUAUAAAAGAAAAAAACAUACCAAGCAGUUCAUCUCAAAUGGAGAUGGUAAAAUAUCUCUGCAGCAGGAUUUUUUACUCCUUAUGUUUUACUUGCUGUCGCUACCUCACAUUUGGAGGGAGCUGUGUAAGCCAUGAUGUGAAAUCCAAAGAGCAGGUAUGUUUGUUGCUCCAACUUUCACUGUACAUGUGACCAGUUCCCCUCACCAACAUGCUCUGUCUUUCACCCUGACUCUUCCCUCUCAACGCAACUCAUUUCCCUUCUGUCUCAGAAACAUUUCCCUCAGUGUCUCUAGUUCAUCACAGCUCAUUUUUCUCCUGUCCUCCAACUCAACCAUUCUUCAUGGAAGGACAAGAAACUCUCCUGCACAGCCUAAAAAACAUCCUCUAAUCUAAGCUAAAAUCCUUUUUUGAUCCUGGCUGUAUACAAACUGAAACCCUUGGCUCAGCAGGCCAUCCUGCAGGGCUCCUGUAUCCCUGGCCGUGGCUGCAGCCCAAGUAGUGCUCACAUGUCCCCAGCCAGGACUGACCCCACAACCUUUUGUCCUGCCAGCUCCAUGUGGUGGCACCUGCCAUGCAGUGACGUCCUUAGCAAUGACAUCCUGAGGCUUGAGCUGGAAGCUGGAAGAUAGCUUCUUACCAGAAACCCUGUGUGUCAUGCUCGUGUUGCAUACUUAAAUCGUAGGAAACUUUUAUCACUGUUGGUUGAUGGACAAAAAACCUGUUAAUUUAAAAAUAUCCAGGGGAUGUGGUACAGGCAGUUUCGCAUAAGAAUGUUAAUAAGCAAUUUUUGGAAUGACACAAGUAGCAGCUCUUUCCUCAUCCUGCACCUUGACUCAUUACUUAAAAUUGCUUGUUAGAAACUUCUGUUUCUGCAAUCAAGCUCUUGUAGUGAUAAUCUCUUUACAGAAAUACUUAAACCCUGGACUCCUUGGUCACUCAGUUAACUAGGCCAGAGAGACACUGAACAAAUUUCCCCCAAGAAGAGGAGCUCCCUGCUGCUGGCAGUGGCUCAAGCAUUUACUACAAGGGGAAAAGGGUGCACAUCUGUGGUGUGCUGGGGGCAGCAAGGACUGUAGCCAAACCCAAAUCUACGUACUCAGCCCUCCAACGUUGCAGCUGUGCCUCACUGCGAUGACACAACACUCUCCAAGCACAGCAGUGGGAUGGUGAAACUUGCCACAGCAGCCCUUAAGCACUCUGAGCUCCAAGGCUCACUGUUUUGCCCAACAAUUGUUGAAAUAGCUCCAAAUUUAAUAUAUGAAGCGAUGUUGCAUCAGUUUAGAUGAAUUGCUUUUAGUGUAAAUGUUCAUUUUUGCAUUUAGCAUUUAUGCUGGUUUUGUUUUUGUUUUUUUAAGUGUGGGCCCAGGGUGAAAAAUUGCUUUCUUUGGUUACUGAAUGAAAAAUCCCUUAAAAUCAAGGGGCUUCCAAUACACAUUGGUCAGGGUUAACAUUGUGUAAUUCUAAACUAGGCUACUUAAUGACUAUUAUAUGCAAAGAAUUUGUGUUUCCGAACCAAUCCAAGCAAAAGGUUCUCCUUAGCAGCAUCAUAAAAUCACUAUGACAUCCCUCAGAGAAGAAAAGUGAUAAAUGUGCACAUAUAUUUUAUUAGUCAUAAAUCUUUACCUCUUAUUAUGAUUUUCUUACUUUUUUCAUACUGACUGGGAAGAAAGGCAAGGUCUCUCUUUGUCCAAUCACCCUGUACAGAAAUGACACCAUGCUGAGACCAUGGCAACAAAACUCUGAAUUUGUUUUUGGUUUUGACUAAACCAUGUCUAUUGCCUUCAACAGUGACCAGCCCGAGGAAGAACCCUCAGAUGUUUUAACUUCCAAUUCUGCUUUACUGUGCCAUUCUGACAACUCCAUUAAGUUUUUUUGUUAUUGUUUUGUUUAGGUUUGGGGAGUUUUGUUUGUUUGUUGGUUUGUUUUGUAUGUUUGGUUUGGGUUUUUUUUUUGUUUGUUUGUCAGGGGUUUUUGUAGAUAAGCCAUUUUUUGUUUGCUCAAAGGACAUUUUGCCUCUCAGUCCUCUCCCAGAUACCACCAGUGCUGAUCAUGUUUAAAGAAUUCAACAAAGAAAAAGUCCUUUCACCUGAGUAGUAAUCCAUGACAUUCACAAGAUCCUUACCUUUCCUUCACCUCCUUAAUCCUCACUAAAGAGCCAAAAGGAAGAUCAUGGAGGUAAAAUGGUUAUGAAUCUCCUCUGCUUGUCUCAGGCCCUGUGAGGCGUAGGAGCUGUGGUUUGAUGGUGGUGAGAUGACCAGCACCACAGAGGAUGGAUCAGUAAUGAGGAAACAUUAAAGCAUGGCUGGGCAUGGGCACUAAAAUUCCAGAAUUGACUUAGGAGGUCUCAGACCCCCUGGACAGAGCCACAAGAUGCAGAACGACUGGCCUGCAUUUUUCUGUGGGAAAGUCAUCAGUGAAACCUUGCUGUGAGGCCUCCUGUGGGUUGCUUUUUUUUUUUUUUUUUUCUUUUUUGCGCAUAUAUUGCACAAAUGUGUAUUUCACAGUUUUCUCUACAAAAGCAAGAAAACCUGUGCAAUGGAGAAAAAUGGAUAGACUGAAACCAAAAAGAAUUUUGUAAGCCUGCUGAAGAGAUGUUGAUCUAAUUCAAAAGUAGUCGAUAAGGACCUGUGGAGAAAGGAAGUGGAAAGACCACUGUUUUUUUUGUUUGGUUGGUUUUUUGUUUGCUUGUUUUUAAAAAAUUUCUAACAUAAAGGCAGGUUGAACAAAAGGACUUAGUAACAUUUCUAAGCAAUUGUUUCCAAGAUGAAUCUGGUGGAAUGUGCUUUUCUGUUGUACUUUUCCUCCUUUUGAACCUUUGAAAGUUUGUUUGGAGGUAAUCACUGCUGCACUCAGUUUCCUUGGGAGUGAAGAGGAAUAGGUAAACACAUUUCUCAGGCUAACACAAGGUUAGGAAAAGAAUGGGAAUAUGGUAGGAUAUUGGCUAUAGCUCCAUGGGUAAAUGUCCAUGGGGUGCAGAGACUGCUCUUGACUUCAAUCAUCUGCUCCAGAGCCAUUCAUACAACCGGAUUUGAAGCUGGAGGAACAUAAUGAGUUACACGUAACUUUACACCUCCACUUUAAAAGAAUUAAAAUUGCCCUUCAUUUUCAUAGUGGAACUCUUUUCAUGCCAUCUGAAGAAGGUUGAUCUGUUGGGGUAUCUCAGUGCCACUCUGGGCAGGCUGCACAGCACUUGUGGCUGCAAGAGGAGGAAAACAGAGAAAGGAAGCAUGAGUGUAGAAGAGGGAUUUAAAUGUUUUCAAGCUGGAUGGUUAAGGCAGAUGUGUUGCACCUGGAUAUGAGAAAGUCCUCGAGGAGAAUAGCUUGCAGGCAGCUUGCUGGGAGAUUUCUAGGAAUUGCACAGAAAUGUCAAAGACCAUGCAUAAGGAAAUGGUAUCAGGACUGUCUGUGGAGGAAAGAAGGGGUUUUCCAUUCGAGUCACUGAGGUAUUUCAGAAUCAAUGGGAGAUUAGUCACACAGUCUGUACAUUUUAGGACAAAAAAGAGCAAAUUGCCUGGGACAGAAAUUCUUCCUCUGCUCCUCACCUCUGCUAAAGCAUAAAAUGACCUUUAUUUUUCCCUUCAGUAGAGAGAAUUUCAGAGUUCCUAAUUGAAGCAAAGCUUACUGCAGUAUUUGGAUUAUGUCACUGUACAUAAUGAAAACUUUCUCUUUAAAAUAAUAACACCCAAGACUUUCAUUGAAAUAGACACCAUAUUGUUGGCAAAGGUUUAUUUUAUGCUCUCAAAUUUUAUUUUGAAUGCUUAGGUUUGUGGUUUUGUUUACUUUCAGUGAAAUGCAUUUUGGUGUUUUGCUGGCUUGCAGUAGCCAGUCAGACUGCUGCCCAGAGGCCAGAGGUCAGACAUUUUGUAGUCAGGCUACGAAAUGUUUGUGAAACAAAUUGUUUUCCUUUAAAGUCCAUACCUUUGUUUACACUCUCCUUAGAAAGUAAUUCUCUAUUAAAGGAUGAUGUGUCUUCGGCACUGUGGAUAUAAGAACGGUGUAAUUGUGUAAUGCUGCAGUUUGGGACCCUUGCCCUCUAAACCUGCCAUAGCACCGUGGGGGUCUAGGUUUCAUUCCACUGUGCCCAUGGUCACCAAGAGUUUGCAAAACCAAUACCUAAUGCAAUGACUAAAGUGAAAGACAGAAACGUGAAAGCAGUGUAAAUAAUUGCCAAUAAUUUAUUUUUUUACGUGGAGAACUCAAAAAAGAUAUAUCUUCCGCUGCUUGCAGGAAGAUGCUGGCUGCAAAAGCAAAGAGAAGUGCUGCUUUCCUUCACACAGAAAAUUCUUUCCCCUAGAUGGAAGGGAUAAACCACUAUGUAGUAAAUAAACUGUCUGCCUAAUUCUGAUCCCCACCUCUCCCAGAUGCACAAUGAAAAACUGAUGGGAAUUUUUUUUUCUGCUUAUCUAGUCCCUGGGCUUUGAUCUUCUAGUGUGAUGAGAGAAGAAUAGUCCAUGAGGAAGAGAAAAAGAUUAAUGAGGUGCCAUGGGGUCAAGUCAGUCUCCCCCUGCUAAUUACUGGUACUUGUGUGGAUUAGGAAAGAAAUUAGAAGGUGAGAAAGCCUUCCAGAAAUGGCUGCCCCAGCAGGACAGUGGGUGCACUUGUUGGGAGAGGCUGACUAUGACCUUUAGGCAUGAUGUGUGGACCAGCAGAGUGCUUUUGAAGACAAUGUCCUGUUCCUGCUUCCCAGGGUUUGUUCUGCAUAGUGGAGCAGUGUCAGGGUGUAUGAACUGGGCUCUCUUUUUGGUGCUACAAGGAUGGAAGUACAUCAGGAGAGCUGGAGCCACAAGUAGGCAUUUGACCCCUGGGACCAGGCCAGAGCUAGGCCUGUAAAGACAAGACACCCAGAAGGGUGCACAGGGCACCCAGUACGGAUAUGGCCAGUGUAAACUUCUCUCUUUAGCUAUUAUUCUUCCCUGCACUCAAAACCAUGGCUGUCAUAGGGACAUGGAGGCUGGAGGAUGACUCAGAGCUGAGCCUGCCAGGAGAGCACUCUUGGAGGCUGCUGUCCCUCUGGGACAGAUGUGGCUGCGGCUAGAGAGAGCCUGGCAUGUGGUUAUGGUUUGACAUCUUACCGAAACAUUUUGCUGGUGGUUGCUGAAUAAGCUCAUGGCUUUGGUGAGCAGAGGACAAUGGGUAGUUAAAGAUCUUUUCCUUGCGAUGACUAUUUUUUUCACAGUCUAGCCAUGGUCUAGGAACAUAGAAAUGAGAUGUAGAAGGUCUUUAAAUAGCCACUGAUUUGACAGACAGGCUUCAAUCUCUCCACGAACAUGUUUGUGCUUUCUUUGCCAGAAAGGUGGGUCCUCCCUCCAUCCCACAUUGGUGAAAACUGAAUUAAUGAACUUCUAACCUUCUGAACAAUCACCAGCUGAGAGGGAUGAGCUUAAUCAAUUUAACAUCUUUUCAAAGACUGAGUUCAGCAGAAGAUAACAAACUUGAGAGAGAGGAGCUGUAAGAGAUGCAGAAAUUCCCAAAUGUUCCGCAAAGAGUGGAACAAUUUCACUAAGUAUCCAUGUAAGUAUUUGUACAUUUCAAAAGCUUUUACAUUUCUGCUUCACAACAUAGAAGUCAGAUUUUCACAAAGGAACUAAUUACCCAUAUUAAGUUGCUUUAAAAAUUACACACAGUACCCAAAAGGGCCCCGUUUAUAUGUGAAGAAAGAUCCCUUUUUUUGUCUAAACAGAGAAAAAGUAUCUGCUGUAUUUCUACACAACUCAUGCUAGCAUGGAAGGCACUGAUGUUCAUGGUACCUAGAAAAUACUUUCAAGAGUUUGAAUUAUGUCCAAUACACUUAUGAGAGAAUUAUAACGUCUCAAAAAAGAGCCAUAAAACUUUCUGUGACAGCUUCACAGAUGGUUAGAGAACCACAAAAACACUCAACUUUUCUGCUUGGAUAUGCUUUCACUGAAAAUUCCCCCUGGAAGUUUUGUUGCUUAAUUUUGGCAAGGAGGAUAAAUUUUACAUCUUUCAGUUCGUCCUUGGAGAAAAGAAAUGAUGGAGAAGAAAUAUUUUCAUUAAAGUUAUUAUUAAUUAUUAGUUCUCACACUUCAUUGCACAUUUCUGAUCUCUUUCUUAACACUUUACUGACUAGUGGAAAAUUUGUUUUGUAGAAAAUAAUUACUAGGAUAAAUAAAACCAAAUCUGAAAUCAAACAUUUAAACUCAUGUUCAUGCCUAAUUUUGAUUUGAGAAGGAAGAGUAGUAUAAAUCAGUGAGUUUUAUGACAUAUUUCACACAGAGAUUAACAACAACAGAUGGGAAUCAGUUAAACAUAUCAACCUUUCAAUAUUUUGGGUUAUAUAUAAAGGAGGGGAUUCUGUGCUUAUGAGGAACCUGAUAUCCUGUGUAGCAGCCAAGCCAUGCAUAAUUGUGUAGCAUCACAGGCAUAAAUGUUCUCAGCACAUUUUCUUUAGCUUUAAAUUAAAAACUCAACCUACAAAUAAUUUCUACCAGGAUCGCAUCCUGUUUUUUGGUCAUAGCUGUGCAGACAUGGACAGAGAAUACACAGGGAAUUAAUAUUACAGUAAAUCCUUUGCCUGGCUUCUGUGGCUGCUUCCUCUCCACAGGAAUUUGUUCCCUGUUUUGUGUGCAGGGAUAUCCUUCCUUGAUUUAGGCAUAAAAUAAUUUGAACUACCAAAUAAACAACACUUCCAUUUGUUUCUGCUUUUUUCAUAAUAGUACGUUCUGUAAGUUGUAUCUGUUGUUGUGCCAUCCAGAAAAUCAUGUCAGUAAAUAGUAGUCAGCAGGGAAAAUACUGAUCUUAUGUUUGCUUGACACUGAAGAGAAAGCAUAGUGAAGUCCAAGAGCUGCUUGAAAACUUCCUGGCAAGAUAUUAUGAUUUGGACUUUUGAUACUGCCACGAACGUCGCAUCAUUUAGCAAAUGGUAGAACUGCACACUGACAAAAAUAUUUAUGAUUCUCUCAGGAAAGCUGCAAUCAAGAAUUUAUUGCUAUUGCUGAAAUACUGAGGCUUAGCAUUUGAGAAUCCUUCCUUAGUUAGAAAUGAGAAAGUUUAGUGACAUGUUUAUAGUUUUAAAAGUUUCCUAUUAACUUGAAAGGGGUGAGUAUAUACAAGAGUUCCUAAAUAAAUAACCCAAAAUUAACCGGCCAAGUACACACUAAGAAAUUCUUAUUCAGAAACAGAAAUUUUCUGCAAGUGAACAAUUACUCUAAAACAGUGCAAAUUAGUUAUUUCUUCCCAGAAAACCUGAAAUUCCAAAAGAAUGCACAGCUAAUUUUUUUUCUUUUUGAACCUAUUGUCUCUAUGGGAUAUUUUUUCUGCUUGGGAGCGUCUAUUCAGGCAGUAAUAAAAAAAAAAAACAAAUAAAAAAAAAAAAAAAAAAAAAAAACCCCCAAAAAACCCCCCAAAAAAACCCCAAAAAACAAAACCAAAACCAACCAAACAAACAAAAACCCAAAAAAACCAAAACAAAAAAAUAAAACAAACCAAAAACCCCCUUAUUUUCUGUCUUGAGAGAACAGAGAGACAGCACCACAAGAGGUGCUGCUAGUCAGAGACUAUACUCUUUAGAACUUAUAUUUCAACUUCUCUAGGCUGUUAGACCCUUCAAAUGGAAUUUUCUAUUUAGGGCAUAGUAUUUAUGGUUAUAAUACUUUAAAAUGAACAUGAGGCUUGUUUAACAAAAGAGGAAUACAGUCUUCCUGUGUUUAAAGAAGAUGUCUGCUCCUUGGCAGCAGCUGCAACAGUAGGUUUUCUCUCAAGAUCCCAACUGAUGUCCUUCAGAUUCAAAAUCAAAAAACUGGAAUCAGAUAAAUGGCAAAAGCCUGAGCUUUGCUUGAACAAUUUGACAUUCAUGCACAGGAAAAUUUCUUCUCAAGCAGGAUGUGAAGAAGGAGAUGAACUCCCCAGCGAAAAAUUAUGAUUCUCCUAAGAGUCCUUUAAGCUGUCAGAAAUUCUGGGAAAGUAUUGGCUUUUCCAAACAUCAGAGUGAUCAGGAACCUCUCCUUCUCCAAGAGCUUCCCUACACUUCUUCUGACCAGCUCCCCACAGACAGUCAGGGAGCUGGUGUGGUAAUGGAGUCCACCCAGUUGGCUCAGUGUCAGAGAAAUCAGAUAAAUCAAUGCUUCUUGCUUCAGAUUCCACAAGGGAUUCCCCAAGUUUCAAAUUAUAUACAUAUGUAUUCUUAAUGGGAAAAAUGUAGCUUUUUAGAAUAAAGAAAAGAUGAAAUUCCAACCUUUGCCCAACAAACUCAGAACCUGUUUGUGCAGCAAAUCCAAUGUAAGCAAUACUCUCCUAUUUUGUAACAUUAUUGUACUGAUCUCUUUGGAUGAAAUUAUAUUAAUUGAACUUUUACAAUGAGAAAUGUUCAGCUACACUGGUAAACAGAAGUACUCCAUAGUUUUGAGCAGAAACUGUUAUAUGACAUUAUCUUUGUAUUCCUAGCAUUAGCCUUGGGACAGGAUUUCCUUAGAGGGGCCCUAAAAGCCGUUUUAAAUUAUUUAAUAAUAUCAAUGUUGAGAAUUUAAACAAUUGCCAUCGUAUUUUUUAAGCAUUUGAGUUUUUUCUUUAUUCUAAGAAAUUCAUAUUCAUCUGGAUAUGAAAUUGCAUCUGAUUUUUCUCUACUUGAGUUUAAUUUUACUAGAAAUUCCUUGUAGUCCUUUGGCAAAAUUUCACAAUCACUUUUACCAGUUGAAUAUGUUAGUAGUCAUGAUAAUUUACUUUAUGAUUAGUCUACUUCAGUUCAUUCAUGAAUAUGUGAAUUUAAUUUGGGCUCUAAGCAACUGACUACUAUUUACUGUCCUCGUUGAAGACUCUGAUAUUGCUGGAUGGUAGUUAUCGCCAAAAUAAAAAUAAGAGAGUUGAACAUAAUCAAAUAUUUUUCAACACAUUAUUAAUUGUUUCCCUUUGUUCAUGUGCAUAACUCAGCAUAUGUUUUCCUGGCUUUGUUGGAAUCAGUAAGCCAUCUAGUUAAAAGUAAAGAAAUCCUUUGGCAGUCCUCAAAUAUAUGAAAGGGCAAACUGGGAAUGUGAAUUUUGUUUUGUGGUAACUAUUGAUAACUCUGUUGUUUACUUAAGGUUUCCAUCAUAAAUGAGGGGCAAUUAUUUGAAUCAAUAUAAUUUCCACUUAUUAUGAACAUCGAAAUUUUGGUUCAGCAGUUUGAAUCACAUUAAGUGAUGCUCAACAGCUUUGUGAAAUAUUAUGUUGCUCCUAGAUAUGCUGUCCCAGUAGAAAUUCUACUUUAAAGUGAUAGAAGAGAAGUGUGUGCCUGGGUGAGAAGAUUAGGAGCACUGCCUGGUUUGUUUCAGCACUUCCUGAUCCACAGGGGCUGAAGGGCAUUCCCGUGGAUUCAGAGUGAUGCCACCCUUUCCUUGUGGAUGGUACUUUGUUGUAGCUGCCCUGAUCCUGUGAUGUGCUCUUUGUUUAAAGGCUGUGAUAAUCUGAUAAUCUGUUUGUGCUGGUAGGUAAAAACCUUUGACAAAAUGUUUUAAAAAGGUGUCAGGAAAGCCUCUGCUUCCCUCUCAUGCAUUGUUGCUGCCUAGCACUGCAGCAAGCCAGGCAUCUGCACAUAUGUGUCUAUGUGUACGAAGUAAAUGAGGCAAAAAAGCCCUGAAGAGAGCCCUCAAACGCCCCCUUUUGAAAGGCACUGAAAUGCUCUGUUGUCUCAUCAUCCACCUUCUCCCUGCUGCAGCCUGCUGGAGGGCAUGCCCUCACCAUGAUAAUGAAACACAUUCACAAAAAAAUUUGACCUGCCCUGGUUUCCUGCCUGCUCCUCUGCCAGGAGCUUUCUGCUUGUGGGUGUGGAGGUCACCCACCCAUGGUCCUCAGGAUGGGGUAGAACAAAGAGGAUCCUUCUCCCACUCCAUGGGCUCUUUCUCAAAGACCAGGAUGCAAAACUAUUUACAUUCCUAAGCAGCAAGUCAUGUUUCUUGAAACUAGGACGUGGGCUUCUAGAUUGGGAGUAAUAUUAAGAAAAGGGCAAAUUUGUGCAGAUUCUGAGAAAGGAAGAAGCAGUUCACUGGGAACAGUGUGAGUGCAGACAUUGUUCAUUCCCAAGUGUCUUGCGCAGUGGCUGGAAGCAGACAUUGACAGGAGUGAGCACAACCUGGCUGUAAAAACCAUCUUCUUUGACUACAGGUGCUCUGCCAGGAAAUUACUGUAUUUUAGGGGUUAAAUCUGCCCAGAUAAUAUAAUCAAGCAGCUGUGUUUUCUUCUAGACAGUCUGGUCCCCUGUUCAGUCUUUAUUUUCAGUUGCCAGGUUCUUUGAAGAUGGUCUAUUUGGCUUGCAACCUAUGUGCCAAAUUUGGGGCAGAGGACACAUCUUAUCAAACAUGUAUUUACAGACCUACUACUUCUCCCCCAAAAGAUUAAACACUUUGAUAUUUAAAUAUAUAUGUGCUGAAGAGGUGCCAUUUCCCAUACAUGUAGUUUCAGUUUCUGUUGUGAACAGAACCAUCAUCCUGCCAAAAGUUUCAGCUUCAGUAUUAUCUAAUGAGUCAAUCUCUUCCAUUUCUCCUUCAAAUGUUCUUAUAAGAUGUUAAACCAGGUCAACAUUUUAACUGAUCACAUUUUCAGGAUUUCAGUAAUUUCAAAUGUAGCUGCAUCCUAGAGUAUUCUGCCUCCCUGUUGUGUAUCAGAAUACAAUUCUUCACUGAGCAGCCUAUGAAAGCUUAAUCUGAUCUCUCAGCGCUACCACAUCUCAAAAGGGUAGAUGCCCUAAUGGUUAUGUAAGUUUCUGUGAUUGAUGAAGCUUUACACAAGCUUUACAGGUUGGGGAUUUUUAGCAGCAGUAAUGAAACUACAAUUUUGUUUUGCUUUUACAUAUGCUGAUCUCACUGCCUAAUUAUUCUUGCUGCAAAAUACUCCAGAAGUUGUUCAAGCCAUUUUUUAAACACCGUUUGAGCUGCAAGUCCUUACCAAAGCUUUAAUUGCUCAAGCACAGAUUCUUCAACAACUUUAAAACAUAAAAAAUGAGCAAGGUUAGUCUUGUUUAAGUGCAGGCAUUGUUCUGCAUUUCUUACAUUUGGUUUCUCUUUUCCAUAUAGUGAGUUAAAAGAAAUGGCAAACUGGGCCCUGACCUGACAGGAAUAUUUCCUGUUUGCCCACAAGCAGUGGAUUUUACCCAACAAUAAGUAGCCUGCUGGGAAAAAGAAAUGUGAUUUACUUCCAGGAGCAUGCUAUGAUAGUGACAUAAUUACUGAAAUAUACAUAUUUUGCUGCCUGUGUUGCUUAUGUCCUUAUAAAAAGUUUCAUUCUAUUCUUUCCACAAAAAGAACUCUUCCAAUAUGAUGCAAAAUACUAUAGAAGUAUAAAUUAUUUAUAUAAUUUCUUAGUCUGGAGCUCACUUACUGCCCAAGAAGCUGUGUUGGAAACCUGAUGAAUACCAUGGAUUACCUCACGCAGCCCAGCUAAUGUGCAACAUGAGAGGCUCCAAAAAAUGCAAACCUGGUUGUAAGUCUUUGGGUUAAUUCAAGCUUUACUGAUUCAACAGCUGCUUGAUCUCCGUGUGCAAUGACUUCUGUUUCAGUAUCCUUACAAACAGCUUGCAUACUGUGUUUUAUGCCCCUUAGGAGAUGAAGAAAAAAAGCCAUCAGACAUAUCUUAAAAUCUAGGACUUAUAAAUGAAACCUGUAUUACAAGCUUCACAGAGGUCUGCCUUUUCCAGAUUUGAGCCUGGGAGCUGAUUUGUGUAGGUACUGGGUAAAUAACAUGUUCUCCAUGUGUUUUUUUCAGGAAGGAAUGAUAGGAUGCUACUAGAGGAAAAGCAGGAUUAUAAAUAAGUAAGGCAAGAAGGACAUUUUGAGCUAAAGGAUUGAACUAUAAUUACCUCAUGUGACACGAGUUGGACAUGAGCACCAUGAAGACCUCGUUUCAGCCCUCUGGGGACCCUGUGAAGACAAGGAGGGGCAGAGAAGGCAAAAUGAAACAGAGAGGAAUGGUUGAAAAAUUAUCAACUUUUAUGAGCAUUAAAAUGGGUCUGCAAGAAGUUUCAGACCCAUCAAAUCCUGGACAGGCCUGUUGCUGUUGUAAUUUAAUUGGAGCCUCAUUCCAGGUCUGUCUGUUUUUCUGCCUGUUCUUUGGGUCCCUGGAUCAGUAUUACCUCACACCAGAUGCGUUCUGCUGUGUCCAGCACAGACAGGUCAUUGACUGUGGCUGUGUGUGGGGCAUAUUGGUGAUAUCUCUGCUGCUCUGAUGUUGCUGCCAUCGCCUCAUCCAUGCUGCCUUUUCAUCCUGAGGAAGCUGGUUGCAUAUCACAGCCAUCUGAUGCAGCUUUUUUAAGACAUGCCUUUUGUGCCAAAAUGUUGGAUGGCUUCAUUUCAACUCAUUUGGUUCAUAGAACCAAAAUGUGUCACCGGGCCAUUCUUGCCAGUUCUGUUGUCGCUUGCAUUUUCAUAGAGACUGCUCCUGACAUUUGGAUAGUUCAGGAGACAGAAGUGGCAGCUGUGGCACUGUUCCUCUUACAUUCUCUUCAGUCAUUGUUUUGUAAAUUCUAGCCACUGACCUGUACUUUCUAUCAAGCAGCUGUCCUGGUUGCAGCCAGGGGAUCAUUAAUUUUUGCAAUAGCCAAGAGGAGCUUGGCUUGGUCCCAGAGGUUAGUCGAUACCACCCGAGUCAUUGUAUGGGAGAAAAGGAAAGUUGUCUUUUCCAAGGGUGAGGAGUGCCUUCCCAUCGUAUAAGCAGGGUGAGGGACUGGUGGGCUGGCCCUGGUUGUGAGCUGGAGGGAGUGGUUGGGGUAAUGCCUUUUCUGAGCUGGAGGGGGCAGCUGGGUAUUGUGUCUUGUCAGGGAUUUCUGAGUUGAGCAGUAAUGUUCCUUUUCUUGUAUCCUCUGUCUUUAAUAUUGUUGUUGUUACUGGUAGUUUUCAUCUUUCACUGCUGUUUCCAGCAAAUUUUUCUUAUGUCAACCCUUGAUCCUCACCUUUUGUGCCUCGGUUGUCUUCUCCACUCCACUGGUGGAGGAAGGGAGAAGGGAACCAGGGGGAGCAGGCAAGCAGCAGCAUGGUUUGGGAUUUCUGUGGCAGCACUAAGCUGAGGAGUACCAUUCCUAAACCAUGGCAGCAGCUCUCAUGACAAGAGUAUAAAAGAUUUGCCUUUUCCUAAUGAACUUAUCUCAUUAUCCCAUCAAUACCACAGACCAUUCAAAAGAAAUACAUUAAUAGAUAUUUACUUGUUUAUAAUUGUGAAUGGAAAAAUGAGCAUCUAUGAGGGCUGGAUGCAAACAAACCCUUGAGUCUUGGGACUGUCUCUCCAGAUCAUGGGGGAAAGGCAUUAAUUUGCCCUUUGAAUCAUAUGCUGAGAUGAAGUUUUUUAUUUUUUUUUUUGGCAGAGGGGGUGAAGAUGUCAAGAUCUCUUUGUGGGGUCUGAAGUGCAUUGCUAACACUUCUACUCACUGCAGAAAUUGUGCACAUGCCUUUGUACUAGCUUAUGUGAGGACUGUCAUAAGGGAAAUGGUUCCCUCAAUGCUCCAACACACUUACCACCUGAGUUUCAUCUAUUCAUAACAUAUUCUUUGGUUCCUAUAAAAAGAGAGAGAAGGAAAUGGUGAUGUAGUGGUGAAUUUUGCAUUAUGUUGGGGAUGAAUUGAUGCAUGAAAGCUUUCUUCUGAUUCAGACUUCAAAUGUGAAUGUUUGGCUUCUUUACUUGCUUGGAAUACUGUUCUGGAGAUGGAAAUCAAGAAGAGCUUUAUAAAAUUCCCUGCUGUAAUUUAUGAGUUUAACUGACAGUAAAAGAUACUGAGUUUACAACACCUAUAGAGUUUCUAUUUCUUCUGUUGAUUCAGAACAUUUUACUACUAUAUCCUUACUAGAGACCAGAAUGCAUGCUGUAAACAAAACCAGUAAAUAUGAAGAGUAAACACAUUUUUUUUUGUCAGAAAGGCAACUGGGGUGGGCUUUGAGAAGCUUACCUUGCUUUGAGGACCUCUUUUUGCUCCCAUGCCUUUCAGUAGAAAGCUCCCAUGCAUUUAAAUCAUGUAGGACCAACUACUGAGGUAGGAGAGCAGCAAAAGUCUUUUACAAAAUAAUGGAAAUAUGGUGAAGAGAAGUAUCAGGACACUCAGCCGGUCUCUUAGUGAAUGAAACAAAAACAAGAGAUGAAAUCUUGAUCUUUCAGGAAAAAGAGCCUGUUUGGAAAAGGCUGCAUUCGGACAAAGCUAUCACGCUUACCAGGGGAAAGCUGUGCACUUAGGGAAGAAAAACUGUCUGCUGAGAAUUAACAGGACACCAAUAUCCAGGAAGCUGAACUUUGGCAAUGAGUGUGCAAUUCUCUGAGCACUUCCUAAGAGAUAUGGCGCAGUGGACAGGGGUCUGAAUACACACAUCUUUUUGCAGGGGAUCUUCUGUGGCUUUGGAAAUAUCUCAGGUAGUGCCUUGGAAAAAAACAUAGGAAGCUUAAGGAAUACACUGAAAAUUGUUUCUUUCAUACCCUGUAAGAGAAAGGUUUGGGAUUUUUUUGCUCUGGUUGUUUUGAAGGUCUGUUGAGGCUUGUUUGUUUUCAAAGAAUUUCCUUUGUCUUGCAUCUUAAACAAUCUAAAACAAAUACUUCUUGUUGUUUUUGGGAACCUACUUUCCUCCAGUGCAAAGUGAUGCCUUUUCUGAGUCUACCUAAAAGAGAGGCCAGACAGAGUUAAGGGACUAAAAAGUGAGAAGGGUCUGCAGAUACAUUUUGGGCAGACAAAGCACCCCAAAAUGGAUGAUGGGUCAUGAGUUUUCACACUUCUGUAAGUUUGCUCCAUUUGCAUAUUGGGCAUUAAUCUUCAUUACAGCUUCAGGUAGUGAAGUCAUUUUACCCCAAGUUUUCUCCCCCCUCCAGAUCACUUCUAUUUACACUUCUCAGGAGUUGGGACAGUCAGGUGUCCUUGAUUCCCAGGCCUAGAGAGGAAUUGUUUUGCCUGACCAAAAUAUGAAGACAGUAGCUUGCACUGUGUAUAGAGUUUAGAGCUAUACACUAAAGAAUUACAG